rnacentral:rRNA from 1 species
UGCGUAGACGGUACAUUAAGUUCGUUGUUAAAGGCUCCGGCCUAACUGGAGUAUUGCAAUGAAAACUGGUGAGCUAGAGGGUGAGAGAGAGAAGUGGAAUUCCCGGAGUAGCGGUAAAAUGCGUGGAUCUCGGGAGGAACACCAAUGGCGAAGGCAGCUUCUUGGCUCAUUUCUGACGUUGAGGCACGAAAGCGUGGGGAGCAAACA